rnacentral:rRNA from 1 species
GGAAUAUUGGACAAUGGAGGCAACUCUGAUCCAGCCAUGCCGCGUGCAGGAAGACGGCCCUAUGGGUUGUAAACUGCUUUUAUACAGGAAGAAACACUCCCUCGUGAGGGAGCUUGACGGUACUGUAAGAAUAAGGACCGGCUAACUCCGUGC